GGAUUAGAUACCCUGGUAGUCCACGCUGUAAACGAUGAUAACUCGUUGUUGGCGAUACACUGUCAGCGACCAAGCGAAAGCGUUAAGUUAUCCACCUGGGGAGUACGAUCGCAAGGUUGAAACUCAAAGGAAUUGACGGGGGCCCGCACAAGCGGUGGAGCAUGUGGUUUAAUUCGAUGAUACGCGAGGAACCUUACCAGGGCUUAAAUGCACCAUGACCGUCCCGGAAACGGGACUUUCCUUCGGGACAGGGUGCAAGGUGCUGCAUGGUUGUCGUCAGCUCGUGUUG
rnacentral:rRNA from 1 species